UACGUAGGGUCCAAGCGUUAAUCGGAAUUACUGGGCGUAAAGCGUGCGCAGGCGGUUCGUUAAGUCAGCUGUGAAAGCCCCGGGCUCAACCUGGGAAUUGCGGUUGAAACUGGCGAACUAGAAUCUGGCAGAGGGGGGUGGAAUUCCACGUGUAGCAGUGAAAUGCGUAGAGAUGUGGAGGAACACCAGUGGCGAAGGCGGCCGACUGGGCCGAUCCUGACGCUGAGACCCGAAAGCCAGGGUAGCGAACCGG
rnacentral:rRNA from 1 species